rnacentral:rRNA from 1 species
AACGAACGCUGGCGGCAUGCCUAACACAUGCAAGUCGAACGAGAUCUUCGGGUCUAGUGGCGCACGGGUGCGUAACGCGUGGGAAUCUGCCCUUUGGUUCGGAUUAACAGUUGGGAACGACUGCUAAUACCGGAUGAUGACGAAAGUCCAAAGAUUUAUCGCCAGAGGAUGAGCCCGCGUAGGAUUAGCUAGUUGGUGUGGUAAAGGCGCACCAAGGCGACGAUCCUUAGCUGGUCUGAGAGGAUGAUCAGCCACACUGGGACUGAGACACGGCCCAGACUCCUACGGGAGGCAGCAGUGGGGAAUAUUGGACAAUGGGCGAAAGCCUGAUCCAGCAAUGCCGCGUGAGUGAUGAAGGCCUUAGGGUUGUAAAGCUCUUUUACCCGGGAUGAUAAUGACAGUACCGGGAGAAUAAGCUCCGGCUAACUCCGUGCCAGCCGCCGCGGUAA